GGGGGGGGGGCAAGCGUUGUUCGGAAUUACUGGGCGUAAAGGGCGCGCAGGCGGCCUGACAAGUCCCUCGUGAAAUCCCACAGCUCAACUGUGGAACUGCGGGGGAUACUGCCGGGCUUGAGUCCGGGAGAGGAGAGUGGAAUUCCCAGUGUAGCGGUGAAAUGCGUAGAUAUUGGGAGGAACACCGGUGGCGAAGGCGGCUCUCUGGACCGGUACUGACGCUGAGGCGCGAAAGCUAGGGGAGCAAACGGGAUUAGAUACCCCGGUAGUCCUAGCUGUAAACGUUGAGCACUUGGUGUGGCGGGUAUCGACCCCUGCCGUGCCGAAGCUAACGCAUUAAGUGCUCCGCCUGGGGAGUACGGUCGCAAAGGCUG
rnacentral:rRNA from 1 species